UGGGGAAUAUUGGACAAUGGGCGCAAGCCUGAUCCAGCCAUGCCGCGUGUGUGAAGAAGGCCUUCGGGUUGUAAAGCACUUUUGUCCGGAAAGAAAUCCUGUCGGUUAAUACCCGGCGGGGAUGACGGUACCGGAAGAAUAAGCACCGGCUAACUUCGUGCCAGCAGCCGCGGUAAUACGAAGGGUGCAAGCGUUACUCGGAAUUACUGGGCGUAAAGCGUGCGUAGGCGGUUCGUUAAGUCCGAUGUGAAAGCCCUGGGCUCAACCUGGGAACUGCAUUGGAUACUGGCGAGCUAGAGUGCGGUAGAGGAUGGUGGAAUUCCCGGUGUAGCGGUGAAAUGCGUAGAGAUCGGGAGGAACACCAGUGGCGAAGGCGGCCAUCUGGACCAGCACUGACGCUGAGGCACGAAAGCGUGGGGAGCAAACAGG
rnacentral:rRNA from 1 species